UUUCCCUCGUCUGAAAAUCCCCUCUUCCUUCAAUUUCAACUCUCUGCUUUCUCUUGACUUUGCUCUUGAUUUUUCGUCCAAGCAGAAGAGGAAACAAGAAAUAAGGGUUUUGUGCUAAGUUUACUUAGAUGAUCAAAAGACUUCAGUUUUAAGCUGAUCAGACAAUUUUUCCUACUUGAAAAGCAAGAAGAUAAGACAUUGGUGCUAUGGGAGGACCCACAUCAUGCUCCUUUACAACUAGUGCCUCUGGAUGUCUUGCACAAAUUUGAAAUUGUGCAACAGCAUGUUGGAGCCACAGUUUUGCUCGAUUUCCUUUCCCCACUGGAUUGCUGGAACCAAACAGGGCCUUGCUGGUUGAUCGGUCGGUCGGUGGGUCGGUGGGAAUAGUGGGAUAUAGUUUGACAUAAAUCUUAUUCAGAAUUGUCCAUUUCCAUCCUCAUCUGUCAUUGUCAUUAUUUGCAAGUGUCAUCUCAACUUUACAAGUGCUUGCUACGGAGCUAGCUGCAGUCUUUUUUCCUUUCAAGGUUGAAAACUUUUGGAGUGGCUCUGGAAGAAAAAAAGCUGUAUGACUAAGAGUCCUCCCUCUUCUAUCACUUGUAGAUGUCUUUGCCUUUGUUCUUUACUGUAGUUGUUGUCCUGCAAAAGAAAUAUAUCUGCUCAGUAUUUGACUUACAGCCCUCGUGCCAACCCACCAGCUCAUCUUUUAACGCUUCCUUAGAUCCUUGCUGAUUGGAGAACUUGUGUGCGCCAUAUUGGGUCUAAUAAAAUUACGGUUAUGGCUUCAAAGGAUCUUUGGGCUAAAAUUCAAGACCAUGGGACAGCUCUUGAUGAGAAGAAGACGCGAAUCAGGUGCAAUUAUUGUGGAAAGGUUGUCAGUGGGUUUAGUCGCCUUAAGUACCACUUAGGAGGAAUCCGGGGUAAUGUGGUUCCUUGUGUGCAAGUUCCUAACAAUGUGAUGGAAGUAUUUCGAGAUGAGUUACUUGAAAAGAAUACAGGAAAUGUCAGUAGGGAAGUUGGGGAACUUUGUUCCCCUAACCUCCCUUCAAGGAGAAACUCAUUGCCUCGUCCAAAUUCUGCAGAGCCUUAUCAUCCAGGGCGUACAAAAACUUCUGGCAUGGGAAGUGAAAAACGGCGGAAGAUUGCUGCACCAUCUGAAAACCAUGGAUCUCUGUCAGCCUCUGGUACCAAUAUGACACUUGGUUCUCAAUCAGCUGCGAGUAACCAAUGUUCCUCUUCAAGGGAAUUUCAGAAGCUGAUAGGUAGAUUCUUCUAUGAAACAGGAAUUGACUUGGAUGCUGCAAGAUGUCCUAGCUUUCAGAAAAUGAUGAAUGCGAAGUUUGGUUCUGAACAUACAGCAUACCCGAUUCCUAGCUCUGAGGAUUUAAGAGGGUGGAUCCUGCAGGAAUCAGUGGAAGAGAUGCAACAGUAUGUGAGAGAGAUUAAGAGUUCAUGGAUGAAGACAGGGUGUAGCAUCUUGUUGGAUGGGUGGGAAGAGUUGACAGGUCGGAAACUUCUGAAUGUUCUAGUGGCCUGCCCAAAAGGUACAAUUUACAUUCGAUCUGCAGACAUUUCUGGGUUUGAUGAGGAGGGCAGUUGCAUGCUGGAAUUCCUGGAUGAUGUCCUCAAGGAAGUUGAUGUUCAGAAUGUAGUCCAAAUCAUUGCAAACUCCAAGUCAUCCUGGAUGGAGACUGUUGGCAAACUGGUGAUGGGAAAAUACAAGACACUUUUCUGGACAGUUUGUGCUUCUCAUUGUCUAGAACUUAUGUUGGAGAAAAUGGGGACAAUGAAUAAGGUUAAAGAGACAAUAGAUAAGGCAAAAACUAUCACAAGAUUUGUGCAUAGCCAUGCAACUGUUCUGAAACUUCUGAGAAGUCACACUUCCAUCAAGUACUUGGUUAGACAAUCCAAGUUCAAGUUGACAGAGCCUUUCUUAACUCUUGAGAAUAUGGUCUCUGAACAAGAGAUCUUGCAGAACAUGUUUCUUUCGUCUGCUUGGAAGGCCUCGAGAUGGGCUUCCUCAAUGGAAGGAAAAAGAGUGGCUGACUUGGUGGCUGAUUGCUCGUUUUGGACUGGAGCAGAAUUGGUUGUUAAGGCGACCAUACCACUUGUGCGUGUUAUAGACUUGAUAACAAAGAAUAAUAACCCACAAUUGGGUAAUAUAUAUGAGAUAAUGGAUCAGGCCAAAGAAACAAUCAGAGAGGAACUCAGUGACAAGGAAUCUACAUACAUGCCAUUUUGGAAGGCAAUUGAUGACAUCUGGAAUGGACGUUUACAUAGCCCUCUCCAUGCCGCAGGGUAUUUCUUGAAUCCGAAGUUAUUUUAUGUUAAUGAUUUCUAUACAGAUUCAGAAAUUACCAGCGGCCUUCUGUGCUGUAUUGUACGUUUGGUUGAAGAUCCUGGUUGUCAAGAUAUGAUAAGUUUGCAGAUUGAAGAGUAUCGUGCAGCAAAGGGUAAUUUUGGUCAAGGAAGUUCCGAUCUGCAGUCUUCUCUAGAAAGCUGGUGGUUCAAGUAUGGAAGUGGAUAUCCUCAGUUGCAGCAACUUGCUAUUCGAAUCUUAAGCCAGACAUGUACUGGUGGCACAAAAUAUAAUCUGAAGAGGAGCUUGGCUGAGAAGUUACUCACUACAGGGAGGAACCCAAUAGAGCAAGAGAGGCUGGCUGCAAUGGUAUUUGUGCAUUAUAAUCUACAACUUCAAAAUUUCAACCUAGGUAUAGCAAAUGACUUAGCAAGUGAAGACAUUGACCCGAUGGAUGACUGGCUAGUUGACAGAUCACAACCUGUUCUGACUCAGAGAGACCAAGAGAGAGAUGAAUUUACAUGGAAGGAGUUGGAUUGUGGUUACACAAUAAAUGGCAGAGUGGAAGGUAAUUCUGGAUAUUCUAAGUUUCAUCCUAAAAAAGAGCCCCAUUCAAUUUGAGUUUUGGACAGGCAAAAUUGAUUGCAGAACUCUUAAUGACCCUCAACAUCGGUCUGUGUACUUGUCUGUUGUGUUCGUUUAUGUCUAGUUUAGUUUAGCAUCUUUUAAAGAUAUAGGCCUGUAAUAGGUUUAAAUCAUCAGCAUUUUUGUAAUGCACAUCCUUGGCAAAUUUGAGAGGCAGAUUAUCGGGCCUGUCUUUUCGGGACCAAGAUUGCUGCUUCAGAACUUCUCGUGUGGUAGUAACAGAAGGCAGUUGGCUAUUGUGCACUAAAAGAAUGUGCAGAUUCUCCGAGUCAAGAGUGCUUCAUCCUAGGGGUUUGAUUUUGAUCAUGGAACUACUUUAUCCUUUGCUACUUGGAUGCAGAGACUGGACACCCACGUCCCAUUGGUUCCUUCUAAUACUCUGUUUCCUAUGGAAUAAUAUAUGAUUGCCAGAAUGUACCAUUGUAGAAUAAUAAACUGUUCAAUAUCUCGAGUGCUAACAUCUGUAAAUGAGCAUUUCCAAUGUAGAUAGUAGUAACUUUAGGUUGACCCUUAUGAAACUUUUGCAGAUUGAGUCACAUGAUCAAGAUCAAGAUGCUAUCAUCGAGGGCCUCAACCAUUAGUUAUUUGGUGUUCUGGUUCACAAAGAAGAAAUGUCAAGAUUGCACCAUUCA